rnacentral:rRNA from 1 species
CCUACGGGUGGCAGCAGUCGAGAAUCAUUCACAAUGGGGGAAACCCUGAUGGUGCGACGCCGCGUGGGGGAAUGAAGGUCUUCGGAUUGUAAACCCCUGUCAUGUGGGAGCAAAUUAAAAAGAUAGUACCACAUGAGGAAGAGACGGCUAACUCUGUGCCAGCAGCCGCGGUAAUACAGAGGUCUCAAGCGUGGUUCGGAAUCACUGGGCGUAAAGCGUGCGUAGGCUGUUUCGUAAGUCGUGUGUGAAAGGCGCGGGCUCAACCCGCGGACGGCACAUGAUACUGCGAGACUAGAGUAAUGGAGGGGGAACCGGAAUUCUCGGUGUAGCAGUGAAAUGCGUAGAUAGCGAGAGGAACACUCGUGGCGAAGGCGGGUUCCUGGACAUUAACUGACGCUGAGGCACGAAGGCCAGGGGAGCGAAAGGGAUUAGAUACCCGGGUAGUC